rnacentral:tRNA from 2 species
GCGGGCGUAGCUCAGUUGGUAGAGCACCACCUUGCCAAGGUGGUUGUCGACGGUUCAAAUCCGUUCGCCCGCUCCA